GCUUUGCAAUGCAUUGCAUGUACCAAAAUAACUUGAGAAGGGCAACAACUCGCAAGAUUUAUAUAAGGUUCAAUUUGUACAAAUUACAUAUAAAUGAUAUAUACGUCAAAAAGCUUAUCAGCUAACAGCAUCAAUGAGAUAUGAAUGGCUGCAACUCUCUUUUUCUUGCCGAUUUCGGUUCGUCAUCUCCUAUAAUUAACAGUAAGGCAAGCCAAUUUUCUGCAUGGUCCCACUAUCUGACUCUACGUGUCUUCUGCUCAUUAACGAUAAACAAAUUUCUUUUGUUAAGGAAGCUGCUGCAGUCAAAUGUGGAGUUUCAAGCAUACUGGACUGUACAGCGGCUGAAACAAGUUGCCUCUCAAAAGUAGCAAGAGGCCGAGGUCCUUUGGUUUGAGGGCAGAACUGAAAGAAGCACAGAGCACAAGGAGAUCUUCAUCCAGCACCUCCAUUAACAGCUCAACUCUCAUCAAGAACAAUAUCAGCUGGAUCUCCAAUCCAUGGCCUCCCUUCUUUCCACUGAAACUUAAUCCUUAGCUUACCAUUUGCAUCUACACCAACUACCCAGCCUUUGCUUGCUUGAGUCUCCAUUCCCCACCCCCACCGUGGUGUUAUAAUCCCUUCCUUAAUUCUCACUUUGUCCCCCACUUUGAAU
rnacentral:misc_RNA from 1 species